UGAACGACCCUCCGGCGCCGCCCGCCCAGCGGGAUCCGCCUGGGGCUCCGGCCGCGGACACGGGGAGACCCGGCGCGUCGCCGUCCGCGGGAGCCCGGCCCGGGCGAGGCGCCGCGGGGCUCAGGGACCGCGCGGGGCGGGACAACGCGGAGCAAACGCUUCCUUUCGGCCCGACGCCGCGGGGAGCUCCGCCGGGGCCCCGCCAGAGCCUUCCGCUGCCUGCGCCUGCCCGCGUCCAUCCUUCCCUUUCUCCUGGAAGGUCGGGGCCACACCGUUUCCAAGAGCGCGCGCUCAUUCGGGGACCGGCGGCUCGAGGUUACAAAUAUAUUGAAAGGAAAAGUCAGAUACUCUACGUAAGGCAAUGAACAGACUUUAAACCACCAAUGGUAGCCGGUAGCUAUUACCUCAGAGAUUCAAAAGCUUGUGCAGGAGCAGCCCUGAUAUAGAUGAUACCCAGAUGAAUAUAUAGAACAUUUUCAGAAUCUCAAAAAUCUUGCUGUGCCUUCUCCCACUGCAUAGUCCCAGGCCAAAGCAUCAACAGAGUGGCAGGGAGAGAAAGCUGGAGCCUUAAAGGAAUCUAACCUUGAAAGAGUUUAUUCCCAAUGGAACAUUCUACUCAGCUUCCUGCAAGAUUCUACCUUCACCUGAGGUGACCUAGGCUCCUAUUUUCUCUGUUCGGAGAACUCACUGCAAAGACAUUCAUGUGGCACCAGACCUACUUUCUCUUCAGAAAAGUCACCUACACAAGCCUCCUUUCGUGGAUAGCUUUCCAGACCAGUUAUAGCAAGAUCCUUCCUCUGAGGAGUGGGUUAGAGCAGCCAAGGAGGCGGACAUCUUAUAGUUCAUGGAGCUAGGAAGAUGCUUCUCAGUGCACCUUUGAGAUCCAUUUUCCAAGAUUCCAAGUGAUGGCUUCAAAAAAGUUUCAGUGAUGUGAAGACCUGGACAGUGGCCUCCUGAAUGACUGCGGGAGUAUCCCCAUAACACAGCCAUGGGUCCAUCAGGCUGUCCGUGACCCUGCCCUACUCUCUCCCUCUGGGAGCGUGUUUCCUCAGGUCAGCCAGAAAGUCCUCCUGCAUCCCCUGCUCCCUGAAAAAUUUCUCUCAAAGAAAUGUUUCCAUAAAAUCAGAGGAAUUGAAAUGGUUCUCAAUUACUACAUUCUCUGAAGUAGUUUGUCUCUGUUUUUCUCUGAAAGGAGACUUGUGUCUUCUGCCUCAGCCACAUGUAGGCAAAGUAAGUGUAGGGUUAGCUAGGAGCUCAGGCUUAGAGUAACAAAGGGUCAGCGUCAGCUCAUAUUGAGAGACUUUCUGAAGGUGAUCAAGAUCAGGGAGGGAUGUUGACCAUGGCACUGCAUACCCACUGUCAUCUCGGGUUCUUUCAUUUGUAUUUGUGAAUAUAUCUCAAUUUUAAAAUCUUAAUACUACCACAAGAAUACAACAACAAAAAACGUGAAUGCUCAGGGGCUUUAAAAGUGAGAAAAUCGAAGUCCAUGUCCCAGGAUCUAGACAUAGCCAUCCUUCUCUCUGUUCCCUCGUUAUCUAGAACAUUAUCUGAUCAUAGGGUGGAGUAGUUAGGGUUGCACAGACAUCAUAGGGCCAGAAAUGUCCCCACUCAACCUCCAGGAACAGUAAAAGACAAGACUCUUCUCAUAUUCCCAAAAUGCAACUGGAUUCUUGGGACCCUAAGUUCAGAGGGGUAAGGAGAAGUCCCUAUGACCUCUAAUCUUUGGGUAGGGAAUAGUUUUCACCUUCCCCCAGAUCUCCCCUCUAUUCUUGUUGCAGGCUGGGGAGGUGAGCACUGCUCUCCAAUAAUUCUUAUCUUAACCUUUAUGAAAGUGCACAGCUGGCCACCAACUCCCAUUCCCUCUCCCCAUGUGACAGGUUCAAGAACAGAAAAACAGAAUUCCUGGCUCUGUGUAUGGUUAGAAGGGUCAGGGGAAGGAGAGGAGACCCAAUGGAAGGCCAAGCAGAUAUAAGGGCUUAGCAAACUUGGGAGUAGAAUAUUAACAGACUUGAGAAAGAACUCUCCACAUUUCUUUAAGUGGCCCUCAGGUCACUCCUGGCCACUGGAAGAGAACUGGGUUCAAAGCUAGGGAUGUGAAAAUUGGGUCACGUUGCCCCACCUCCCAACCUCCACGAGACAACCCAUUUCUGAAAGGAUUCAGAGGUAGGAACAUUUUCCUGAAAACAGUAGCUUUUGAAUCUUAGAAAAACUAUCCACAGUGGAUGUAGAACUAAUUGAACUUUAGAGAAGGUGGGUGUUUAGGGGAUCCUGGGGUUAAUGUGGCAAGUCCAAGGAAUAAGGCAAGCACUGCUUAAGGAUCUGCCAUGGUUGUGGGGUUUAUCUAUCUAGAAGAAAACUUUGAACACAGCAAUGAAUUUUCCCCAUUGAAUGGGUACCCUGGGAAAGGGAAGCCCCUUCCCUUGGAGACUACAUGGGGCCUGAUGAUGUCAUUGCAGGGGAAGGGGUGACACAGCAAUCAGGAUGGGGAUGCUCAUAGUGCAGCCACCGUGACUGCAGAUUAAUGAACAAGUUUAACCGCAAGUGAAGAAGGGAAGAAUGACCCAACAAGUGGGAAGGAAUGGGAAUGUCCCCUUCAUCAUCAGUUAUGACACCUGCCCCAUUCCCUCAUUGAAGAGGGGUGGAGACAGACUUAAUGAGCUAUGUAACUUUGAAAAUGAGUGGCAUUUGUAAGACUAAAGAGAAAAGAAACUGUUCAUAAGCACUCAAGUUGAUAACAUUUCCCACAGGGAUAUGGCUUAACAAUUCUGAUUCUGCUGUACAUGUAUACUAGAAGUGAAAUAUAAAGUAAAUUGAUGUGGAGUGAUGUGACUCAAGUUUCUCACUGAAGGAGUGAAAAGUUACAGAUAAGAAGGUGGAGCUAGAAUGGUCCAUGUGGAGAUAUCAGUAUGC